rnacentral:rRNA from 1 species
AGAGUUUGAUCCUGGCUCAGGACGAACGCUGGCGGCGUGCCUAAUACAUGCAAGUAGAACGCUGAAGGAGGAGCUUGCUUCUCUGGAUGAGUUGCGAACGGGUGAGUAACGCGUAGGUAACCUGCCUGGUAGCGGGGGAUAACUAUUGGAAACGAUAGCUAAUACCGCAUAAUAGUAGAUGUUGCAUGACAUUUGCUUAAAAGGUGCAAUUGCAUCACUACCAGAUGGACCUGCGUUGUAUUAGCUAGUUGGUGAGGUAACGGCUCACCAAGGCGACGAUACAUAGCCGACCUGAGAGGGUGAUCGGCCACACUGGGACUGAGACACGGCCCAGACUCCUACGGGAGGCAGCAGUAGGGAAUCUUCGGCAAUGGACGGAAGUCUGACCGAGCAACGCCGCGUGAGUGAAGAAGGUUUUCGGAUCGUAAAGCUCUGUUGUAAGAGAAGAACGAGUGUGAGAGUGGAAAGUUCACACUGUGACGGUAUCUUACCAGAAAGGGACGGCUAACUACGUGCCAGCAGCCGCGGUAAUACGUAGGUCCCGAGCGUUGUCCGGAUUUAUUGGGCGUAAAGCGAGCGCAGGCGGUUAGAUAAGUCUGAAGUUAAAGGCUGUGGCUUAACCAUAGUACGCUUUGGAAACUGUUUAACUUGAGUGCAAGAGGGGAGAGUGGAAUUCCAUGUGUAGCGGUGAAAUGCGUAGAUAUAUGGAGGAACACCAGUGGCGAAGGCGACUCUCUGGUCUGUAACUGACGCUGAGGCUCGAAAGCGUGGGUAGCAAACAGGAUUAGAUACCCUGGUAGUCCACGCCGUAAACGAUGA